AUGGGGAACCGAGACUCGGUGGCGGCAGGAUGCGAGGCUGGACCCAGAGCAGCGACCGAAGCGGCACCACGCGGGCACCGCUGGGCUCCUUCCUCCUGCCGUGCCGCAGGGCGCGGGGUCUGGCACCAGGUGAAGGUGACAGCGGUGGCAUCAGGUGCCCUGCUGGCCGUGGGGUCAGGAGCACGUCAAGGUGGGGGCAUCUCCAAAGGGUUGGGGUUGGAAGGGAUGCGUAAAGACCACCCAGCCCCACAGCAGGAACCUCUUCCACCAGGUCACGGUGCCCAAAGCUCCUGUGGCACCCCCAGCUCCUGCGGCAGCACCGCGGGGUCCUUGGCACGCUCCUGGGGUGCUGAGGGGAGCAGACACAGCCCCCCCAUCGCAAAGCCCGAGGGGGGGUUGUGCCCUGAUCCCCCGGGCUGCCGCUCGCCCUCACCCUGCCCCGCUUGUGGUGCUGCGGGGGAACCGAAAGUCGUUGGAAGAGCACCGUGCCCCGCUGCUGCCGGGCUCAGGAGAACUGCUCCCGCAAAUGGGGAAUCGAGACUGCUGCUGCCAGCAGGGCACAGGGCCAGGGGUCCCCACCGGACACCCCUCGGCUCAGCCCUCACCUCCCAUGGCUGCCCCUGUGCCUGCGUGGCACCGCUGGCCCUGCCGAGCCCCGUGGUGCUGGGGUGCCCAGGGCAGGACCCGUGGUGUGACCAAGUGAUGGACGGGGCACGAACACUGGGUUUUGCCCAGGAUGGGGGGCACGGGCAGGGCUGCUCGGCCCCGCAGUGCAGGGAAGGACUUCGCUCCCCUCGGGUCGCUGCUGACGGCAGCGUUUCGUGGGUUCCCUCUGCACGCUCCCCUCCCAGGCCCCCGUCCAAGUUUCCCUUCUGGGUCCUGCCCUUAUUGGAACUUAAACUCCAUCACCCCGACACCGCCACCCGCUUUGGGGUUACAGCCAGCUCCAGACCUGUCCCAGCCCUGCUCCAGCUCUUUGCUGCCGGCUACGAUGCUGGGGUUUGA
rnacentral:lncRNA from 1 species